rnacentral:rRNA from 1 species
CGUGUAGGCGGUUAGGCAAGUCAGGUGUGAAAUCCCUUGGCUCAACCAAGGAAGUGCGCUUGAAACUGCUUAACUAGAGUACAGGAGGGGAAAGUGGAAUUCCCAGUGUAGAGGUGAAAUUCAUAGAUAUUGGGAGGAACACCGGUAGCGAAGGCGGCUUUCUGGCCUGAUACUGACGCUGAGACGCGAAAGCGUGGGGAGCAGACA